rnacentral:rRNA from 1 species
UACGAAGGGGGCUAGCGUUGUUCGGAUUUACUGGGCGUAAAGCGCACGUAGGCGGUUUGUUAAGUCAGGGGUGAAAUCCCAGAGCUCAACUCUGGAACUGCCUCUGAUACUGGCAAGCUAGAGUCCGGAAGAGGUAAGUGGAACUCCUAGUGUAGAGGUGGAAUUCGUAGAUAUUAGGAAGAACACCAGUGGCGAAGGCGGCUUACUGGUCCGGAACUGACGCUGAGGUGCGAAAGC